AUGAAGCUGCAGUUUCGCAGUAGUUCAAAUGGGUGCUUAUUCUUUUGUUAGCUUAUCAGCAAAUAAUUGCGAUAUCAUAGUUUUUCUUCAUUAAUGUACUUUGUAAACACUGAGUUGCUUCGAAGUUCGACCAUAUUCACGCUGAAUCAAGAUUUUGGUCAUUAACAAUGCUGUUCAGUGUGACUGACUACAGAUUAUUCAUAUAAAAUAUUAAUUGGCAGCACUACAACUCCCUAUUUUACCUUGCGGUGUGCAUGAAUGCUGUGCGAACCUUGAGAACUGUAGUAGGUGUAUUAUUUAUGCUGUUUGUUUAAGCUGGAAUUCAAAGGAAAUGCAUAAUUAAUUAGCUCAUUCUUGAUGCACAAUGUUAACAAAGCUAAUUUCUUAGUCUCAACAGGCAUACAAACUCUCUCCCAACCAAUUUUCAGGUGAUCUUUGUUGUGCCUAUCAUCUUUAUGGGAUGUUCCUGUCAAUCCCUGACCACUCUUCAUCUGACCUUCUUAUUGUUAUUAUUUUUUCUGCUGUAAAUGAUCAUUUCAUUCUAAUCAUUUCACCUUGGCUCAUAUAUUUCCUAUGAUAUACUGAAUUAUGAUUCAAUUAUUUCUAGUUCAUCAUCUCUUCAACAGCAUAAUGUUGCAUAUGGUGGUCUUAUUUGCAUUAUCUUUUGUACUGGAUAUUCUUAUCCAUGUAAUGCUGCUGGUCGUAGGUGCCUCUAGUAACUUUAGAGAAAAAAAUGUAAGAGAUAACAAGAUAAUUCUGAUAAACACUGGAAAGACAUCUAUAGUUUGUUAUAAAACUUCACCACCAUUCUCAUUUACAAUUUAAGCUAACUUAAAUACUUAUUCAAGUCUACUUCUUUGUUAUCAGUCCUGCUUUGGGCUUCGUUCUAGAUAAAUUCUAUCUGUUCAUGGUAUAUUUAGCUUUGUCAAAUUACUUGGACAAUCAGAGCCCUUCAACCAAAUCUGCAAAUCAUGAUUGGCCUUACAGCAUUUGUUAGGACUGUGAAUGCCAAUAGUUUUAGCAAAUGUUGUAUAUGAAAGUUAAGAAAGAAUGCCUAGAAGUUUUUCACCACCACAUUGAAUAGAUUGUUGUUGCAAUUUCCUGUCAACCUUCUUAUUGUCAUGCAUCAUGUGUCUUCAAUCCUUUUAAUACAACCUUAAGAAUAUCUCUACGUGCCCACAAAAUUAAGCUAGACUUGGUCAUAGGCUUUUUACAUUGAUAACAAUAUCUGCAGUAUCAUUGUUGCUUGGAAUUAUUCAUCAAGUUGAUUGAUCAUAAUGUAGCCAUAAUUGUUGACCUUCUUAUCAUAGAUGAAGUUUCCUUUAUUUUAACCUCUUGUUAGCGCAUGGUCAUAAUUUAUCAUGGGAAUGUUUGUGGUUCAAAGACAGGGUGUUGGGGAUGGAGGAGAUAAGUACCACACAGGUCACUUUCAUUUCUAGGGAUCUUGCCUAUCACUAAAGCAAAGUGAACUUUAUAUAACAAAUAUGAUACCAACUUCAUCAUGAAAAAGCAGGCUGUAGAAUACUUACACUUAAGAGGGUUAAGAAUUGUACAGAUUAGAAUGUUGAGGUGGACCAUUAUAACUUGAAGUGUAGAAUUAGGAAGGCUGUGAGCGGCAUUAAUGGAGUCAAAGUGAGGUUAAACAUCUGAAUGCUUUGGGCAUGUGCAGCUUUGGCAAAAGAUAACCUUAAAUGGAAGAGGUCUUAAUUAUAUGUCAAAAUGUGUUUAUGCAUUUGUGUACAGGUUGAAGUGCCUGAAAAUAUGAGGGGAGGCCAAAGAAGAUAUAAUGUAAGCAUGAUUUAAAGAAUCUUUCUAUGUUGUUAACUAACCAUGUGAAUGCAGAAGUUUAAGGAAUGGGUCAAUAUGUAUAUGUGCGACCUGGACCGCAGACAUGGUGGGAUAAUUGAAUUGAAUUAAAUAAAUAUUGAGUUGGAGGGGAUAUGAUGAACUCUCAACAUCUAACAACCUUAACUCUGAUACUGUGUCAACCAACCAUUUGAUCCCAAAAGCUUAAGUUGUUAGAGAAUAGGUCAGCACUGUAUAUCAGGCUUAAUAUGAUUCAGUGGUCUUGUAGAUAGGCUUUGGGUAGUAAACAUGAAAAUAAUAUAAUUUUAGACUUUUUAUCUCAAGUGUUAUUAAAUUUGUUGUGACUUACUUCAAUCCGAGUCUUCAUGAUGGCAAAUUCAAUACUUGGACAUUAUGUUUCUUGUUGGUGUUUAUCCAUGAAGGAGAUUCAAUUUCACUGAUCUAUCUUUGAGGCCAAAUAAUUGGCAUGCAUCUCAAAAUGUACUUCAGACUUUUAGAGUUGUUUAACAUGUAGUAUUCAAUAUCAGAUUGCAUUAUCAGUGCUUUGUUUGAAAUUAGAUUGUUAAUAUGGUUCAGUAGGUUGUGCAUAGGUUAUUUUGCAUGCAUGAAGCUUCAUGCUCAAGAUGACUUUUCUUCCCUGUGCUCUGAAUGUGAUUUGUUAGGUCAAUGAGUUAAAGGUGUGGAAUAUCUAUGGAUAUCAAAUGCUGAUUCUAGUGUCACAAAAAUAGCAAGGUUAGAGAUAAAAAAGGUUAAGGUUUUCUAGGUGCACUUUUUUAUGUCUUUUCAUUCUGUCCUUACUAAAAUCCAUAUGCAUGUUUGUUAAACAUAAUGGUAUACAUACCGUAUGUAAUAAUGCAAGUCUUCAAUAAAAGGCACCAUGUGUGUAUAACAGGGAAAGGCGAUGUUGGUAUUAGAAACAUGGACACAUUUAUGGCUCUUCUUGACCGGUGGCUGUGACAAUUCGACAAUGAAGUGGAAGAAGCUAUAUUUGCUUAGUGGAGCUAUGGAAUCUAAUGCCUCGAUUCGACCUGGGCAGGCGUUGCCGGAUGCCCGUCCACAUCGCGGCGGUGGGGGGUGGCGUUGGGGGGAGACCUUGAUGCUGUCCGCCUUUGCGUCGCCUCCGACGAUGGCGAUCUCGAUCGGACCGACUCCCGCGAGUGGACCCCACUCCACUAUGCCAUUGCCGGUGGAUACCUGGAUGUUGUCGAGUUCUUGAUCGAUCGGUCUGCCUACGACGCUCGGCUCGCGCGAACGAGAGACGGACGGAAGAUGUUGUUCGACCUCGCCAUCGACUGGUGCCAUACGGGGGUCUACGACGCACUCGGAUUGAGCGACGCACUCCACCGGGUGGCGUGUUGCAGCGACAUCGUCGACGUGUGGAGCUGCCUAGCAUGGGGGGCGGCGGUGGAUGGGAGGGACCAGAAUAGGUGGACGGUGCUCCAUCGGGUGGACGGCGCUGAUUGACGGCAGAGUGCAGUUGGAUACGAUGGAUCAGGAGGGUUUCUUUGGAUAAAAUAUAUUCGUGCCGUUGAGAGGGCUUUUUUGGCUUCUUCACUUUCUCCAUUUGAUAAGAAGAGGGGGAUAGUUACCAAACAUACUUUUUGCUUUUUUGCUUUUGUUCUGUAGCAAAAAUCAAAAAAAUAAAAAGUAUUUUGUAGAAAGCAAAAAUCAAAAAUCAAAGUGUAACCAAAUGCACUCUAAAUGGACUAGUUUAAUGGAAUUAUCUGUAAUAUUAUAACAUGAAAGGCUGUGCCUGUUGUUGUGUAGCCAUGUGUGGCUACAGACCAUCAAGUAGGAAAACAGAUUGGGAGAUGAAGUGUCUCUUUCUUC